CAUGCACCAGUGUGGUCCCUCAGCCUGGCCUGUGGAAUUGGGCUGAAACUGGCUCUCCGACAGCCCCUGAGGGGUCCUGGAUCGUGAGAGGGUGCAGGCCAGGCUGAGGGACCCCACUGGUGCACA
rnacentral:pre_miRNA from 1 species